AAAUGCAAAGACUAACUGAAUAAAUGCAUGAAAGAUUCCAGUAAAAUUCUGAGGAUCACAGAAACUCAAGAUACUGUGGAAAAUUGGACU